rnacentral:misc_RNA from 1 species
CCGGAUAAGCAAGCACGCACACUCAGACACGCAUUGCUACCCGUGCACACGUCAGUCGCCACCAGCACCGCACCCACACCCACACCGGGCCAUGACCGUGUUUUGGCCGGAGCAGUGGUGGAAGCGCAAGGACCACCGCAAGAUCCGUGGCGCACGUGGUGCACGUUUUGCCUCGCUGCGCUUCCACGGCGCCUUCAUCCUCAGCGUUGUCGUGCUGGUCGAGUACGUGUUCCGGUCGACGGACGACUUCACGGCGCGGCACUUCGCGGACCCGCCAGUGCUGGCGCCGCCGCCGCUGCCCACGUCGCUCGGGUACUCGAUGACAAGCGAGAUGCCGCACUUGAAGUCGCUUGAGCUGGAGCGCGAGGCGCCAGCGCACCUACCGCGGAGCGGUCCCCUCGACCUCAAGGGCCUCCGCGGAGAGGACCGUCUCUCGGGAUGACCAGACAUCCGAGGCGAGCUCACCUACGCGUUGCCCUGAUGCCGCUAACUCCGUUCUCGCGGCGCGUAUGCCCGCUCCCGCACCAGAGAAAGGCACGCGCACAGCAGGGCGGUGCGCGCCCCUCUCGGUAGCUGAGCGCCAACGGCGCAAGGCCUGCUGACGGCGUCCACGCCGAUCACUUGCCGCGGGCCGCAGCAGCACUAUAUCGGCACGGGCGGCACGGCGAUCGGCUCGUCUCUCUAGCCGAGUCGCACAUGUGUGCACGCCCUGCUUCACCGCCAGUCACGAAUUCGGUUUGAGCACACGCCGGCGCUCUGCCGAGCCCACAGGCACGCGAAGGUCCCGACUGUUAUGUCCAGCUAUCUCCCUUGCUAGCCGCUUGAUCACCCUUUCUUGCACGCUUGCCCUUCCCCUUCCCCUUCCAUCCCUCCUCCCCUCACCAAUCCCCCCCCAACCCUCUCGCGCGCCGCCCCCACAACCCACACAACACAUGCGCACACGCACACGCAG